UACGAAGGGGGCUAGCGUUGUUCGGAUUUACUGGGCGUAAAGCGCACGUAGGCGGUUUGUUAAGUCAGAGGUGAAAUCCCGGAGCUCAACUCCGGAACUGCCUUUGAUACUGGCAAGCUAGAGUCCGGAAGAGGUAAGUGGAACUCCUAGUGUAGAGGUGGAAUUCGUAGAUAUUAGGAAGAACACCAAUGGCGAAGGCAGCUCGCUGGGACGGUACUGACGCUGAGACGCGAAAGCGUGGGGAGCAAACAGG
rnacentral:rRNA from 1 species